GAUGAACGCUAGCGACAGGCUUAACACAUGCAAGUCGAGGGGCAGCACGGUGUAGCAAUACACUGGUGGCGACCGGCGCACGGGUGAGUAACGCGUGUGCAACCAACCCCGUACCGGGAGAUAACCCGCGGAAACGUGGACUAACAUCCCAUAACACUCUAGAGCCGCAUGGUUCUGGAUUUAAAACCCCGGUGGUACGGGACGGGCACGCGCGACAUUAGGUAGUUGGUGAGGUAACGGCUCACCAAGCCUUCGAUGGAUAGGGGUUCUGAGAGGAAGGUCCCCCACAUUGGAACUGAGACACGGUCCAAACUCCUACGGGAGGCAGCAGUGAGGAAUAUUGGUCAAUGGGCGCUAGCCUGAACCAGCCAAGUAGCGUGAAGGAUGAAGGCUCUAUGGGUCGUAAAACUUCUUUUAUAUAAGAAUAAAGUGCAGUAUGUAUACUGUUUUGUAUGUAUUAUAUGAAUAAGGAUCGGCUAACUCCGUG
rnacentral:rRNA from 1 species